rnacentral:lncRNA from 1 species
UGGUAGGUUGCGGUGCAGGGAGCACACCCAGAGCCGUGUGGCUUCCAGCGUUCCUGUGGUUUCCAGCGCUGAGGAUCCCCUCUCUUGCUCCAUUCAUGUUAUGAACCAAAAGAGCUGAGGUGUGCGCUGGUCAGUCUCCCCACAAAGAGCAGUCUCCUCGCUGAAAAGUUGCUGAAAACCUACCACGUGCCAGGCUCCGGCCUUUCACUGCCAACAAGAGAAGACUGUGAUAUGGUCCUGUUAUCAGUGAGCUCACAGAAAAGGGAACAUCCCAGCCUAGCAGGAUGCCAUUUCAGGCGCCAGAGAUACAGAAAUGAAUGAAUGAGACGAAGGUCCCCAUCUUCACGGAGCUUACAUUCUAGUGAGAGGAGACAGGCCAUCAAUGAAUAAAAAGUCAGAAAAAUAUAGUAUAUCAGCUGGCGAUAAGCGUGAAGAUGACAGAGCCUGGAGGAAGGGCAGAGCACACCUGGGCAGCGGCUGGGGGAAUGUGACUUCAAAGGCGGUGCCAUGGAGGGCCUCCCUGAGAAGAGGGCAUUCGAGCAAAGACGCAAAGGAGGAAGACAGCAGGUCCUGGGGACAUCUGGGGAGUGUCCCAGAUGGAGGGAAGAGCAGACGCUCUUUGAAGAUCAAGUUUACUCCCUCCGUUCCUUCCUCCUUCCCUCCUUUCCUUCCUUUUUUGUCUUCAUUUAUUUC